UUUUUUGAAAACAUUUCUUUAAGAUAAUAAUUAUAAGUAGUCUCUGCCCAAUGAAUUUUUAAUGGCUGCAGUAUUUUGACUGUACAAAGGUAGCAUAAUCAAUUGAUUUUUAAAUAAAAUCUAGAAUGAAUGAGGUGAUGAAUUAAAUACUUUAUUAAAUUUAUUAAUUGAAUUUAAAUUUAAAGUAAAAAUGCUUUAAUAAAUUUAUGGGACGAGAAGACCCUAUAGAAUUUUAUUUUUAUUAUAUUAUUUUAUUAAUUUAAUAAAAAUUUAUUUGGGAGGAAUUUUAAAUUUAUAAACUUUAAAUAAUUAAAACAAUCAUAUUUGAAAAUUAUUGAUUUUAAUUUUAAAUUUAAAAGUAAAUUACCUUAGGGAUAACAGCAUAAUAUUUUUGGAAAGAUCAUAUUUAUAAAAAUGUUUGUGACCUCGGUUGAAA
rnacentral:rRNA from 1 species